AUUGAACGCUGGCGGCAUGCUUUACACAUGCAAGUCGAACGGCAGCGCGGGCUUCGGCCUGGCGGCGAGUGGCGAACGGGUGAGUAAUACAUCGGAACGUGCCCAGUAGUGGGGGAUAGCUCGGCGAAAGCCGGAUUAAUACCGCAUACGACCUGAGGGUGAAAGCGGGGGAUCUUCGGACCUCGCGCUAUUGGAGCGGCCGAUGGCAGAUUAGUUAGUUGGUGGGGUAAAGGCCUACCAAGGCGACGAUCUGUAGCUGGUCUGAGAGGACGGCCAGCCACACUGGGACUGAGACACGGCCCAGACUCCUACGGGAGGCAGCAGUGGGGAAUUUUGGACAAUGGGCGAAAGCCUGAUCCAGCAAUGCCGCGUGUGUGAUGAAGGCCUUCGGGUUGUAAAGCACUUUUGGCGGGAACGAAAAGGACUGUGCCAAUACCACGGUUCGAUGACGGUACCCGCAGAAUAAGCACCGGCUAACUACGUG
rnacentral:rRNA from 1 species